AUUAAAAAUAUUAUUAUUUUUAAAAUUUCAUUAAUUUUUAAUUAAAAUAAUAUAAUAAUUUAUUAAUUUUAAGAAAAAUUGAAUUUUUAUUAUAGAUUAUAGUAUUGAAAAAUAAAUUUUAUAAAUGGUUUAAAGAAAAUAAAUAUUGUACCUUGUGUAUCAGGGUUUAUUAAAAAUAGAUUAAUUAUUUAAUUAUCUCGAAUUUAAAAGAUUUAAUUAUUUAUAAAUUUUAUUGUAGAAUAAAUAUUUAAAAUAAAUAAUUAGUAAUGAAAUGUUAUUCGUUUUUAAAUAUAUCUAGUUUUUUAAGAAAAAAAUUUAAUUUUUUUAAUAAUUUUAAAAUUUAUAAUUUUUUAUUUUUUUUAAUAUUAUUAUUUUAUAUAUUAAGGGAUAAGCUUUAAUAUAAAUAACUAUAAUUAAAUUUUAGUUUUAAAUUUUAUAGGAUUAAUAAUUUUUUUUAUUAAGUUUUUAAUAAUUUAAUUUAGAAAUAGUAAAAUUUUUAUUUAAUUUAGUUUUUUUAUUAAAAUAUUUUUGUUAAAUAAUUAUUUAAAAGAAAUAAUGAUAAAAUUAGUAUAGAUAUUUUUUGUUUAUUAAAGUUUAAUAAAAAUAUAGAUUAUAAGAAUUCGGCAAAUUUAUUUUUCAAAUGUUUAAUAAAAACAUUUCUUUUUGAUUAUAAUUUAAAGUAGGGCCUGCCCACUGAAAGUUUGAAGGGCCGCAGUAUUUUGACUGUGCAAAGGUAGCAUAAUCAUUAGUUUUUUAAUUGAAAGCUGGAAUGAAUGGUUUAAUGAAAAAAUAACUUUUUUUAAUUUAAUAAUUUAGAAUUUUAUUUUUAAGUUAAAAAGCUUAAAUUUAUUUAUAAGACGAGAAGACCCUAUAGAGUUUUAUUUUAGUUUUAUUAAAAAUUUUUAGAAUUUAAUAAUUUUAAUAAAAUUAAAAUUUGGUUGGGGUGAUUAAAAAAUUAAAUAAACUUUUUUUUAUAAAUACAUUUAUUUAUGAAUUUUUGAUCCAAUUAUAUUGAUUAAAAGAUUAAAUUACCUUAGGGAUAACAGCGUAAUUUUUUUUUAGAGUUCAAAUUAAAAAAAAAGUUUGCGACCUCGAUGUUGGAUUAAAAUAUAAUGUUGGUGUAGAAGCUGAUAUAUUAGGUCUGUUCGACCUUUAAAAUUUUACAUGAUCUGAGUUUAGACCGGUGUGAGCCAGGUCGGUUUCUAUCUUUAAAAAAUUAUUAUAUUUUAGUACGAAAGGACCAAAUAUAAAUUUAAAAAAUUUUAAUUUGAAUAUAAUU
rnacentral:rRNA from 1 species